rnacentral:rRNA from 1 species
AUUGAACGCUGGCGGCAUGCUUUACACAUGCAAGUCGAACGGUAACAGGCCGCAAGGUGCUGACGAGUGGCGAACGGGUGAGUAAUGCAUCGGAACGUGCCCAGUCGUGGGGGAUAACUGCACGAAAGAGCAGCUAAUACCGCAUACGAUCUAUGGAUGAAAGCGGGGGACCGUAAGGCCUCGCGCGAUUGGAGCGGCCGAUGUCAGAUUAGGUAGUUGGUGGGGUAAAGGCUCACCAAGCCAACGAUAUGUAGCUGGUCUGAGAGGACGACCAGCCACACUGGGACGGAGACACGGCGCAGAGUCCUACGGGAGGGAGCAGUGGGGAAUUUUGGACAAUGGGGGCAACCCAGAUCCAGCAAAGCCGCGUGCAGGAAGAAGGCCUUCGGGUUGUAAGCUGCUUUUGUACGGAACGAAACGGUCUGGGUUAAUACCCUGGGCUAAUGACGGUACCGUAAGAAUAAGCACCGGCUAACUACGUGCCAGCCGCCGCCGUAA